UUUGGAAGAGGGAGGCACCCUAUCAUGUGGGCGUCCCUUCUUGUGUGGCCGCUUAAGACUCUAUGCCUAGGGAGUCUCUGAGUCUCCACGCCCAAGAAGCCAUCUGAUCUGAUCAGGGAUCAGAGGAGGACAUGGAAGGAGGCUUCGGAGGUGGGCAUGAGUGGAGGAAGUGCACGAGGUGACGAGCAUGGGCAAAGGCUAUGCAGGUUGCUAUCAGGGUAUGCGCUGGUAGUCUCUGUUGGAUAAGAGAUUUUCUCCCCAUCUGGAUCAGAUUUUAUGCUCUAGUUAAAACAGUAAGGAGGGCUCUAUCAGAUGUGCUUAAUGUCUUGAUAGGUCAUCCAAAGGAGAUCAGGAAGGUGGGAGAUGAGGCACACAAGUUGGAAGCGCGCAGGCUGAAAUUUUUGUCAUGGAGUCCAUGUCGUACAGGGACUCUCCUCAUCCAAGGAAUCUGAUAUAGAUUUAUCUAGAUCUGCUAGUCCUAAGGAUUCACGUCCCUAGUCAUGGUUUCAAGGAUUUUGGGAGUGGAAGAUCAGAUCUGGAGGUACGUCCCAGGUCUCGAGAAGCCGGGGAAAUGCGAACUAGGUCGCUGCUGCAGGAUUUUUGAUGCGCAGCGAUUAGGGCAUGAUGUUUGUUGCCCUUAGAGAGUCUGGAUCGCCAUAGACUCUUGUAGAGGGCUCUGUCAUGGGUCUCUUCAGGUCCAUGCAGGUGCACAGCGAUCUUAACAAGUGAUAUCAGAGCCUGGUGAAGCAUGGAAGCGAGGGAGAAGUCACACAGGAUAAAAUCAGAAAUCUGCUGCAGAAGAUCCUGAGCGUCUCGUAUUCGUGGAGCUGUUUCUUAACGCCCAAGUUUCAGAUAUUUUAGGCAUUAAAAUAGUAAGUUCUCGGGUUAACCAUGUAUCUACUGUUUUAAUUACGGAUCGAUCUAAUCCUGGGAGGAUUAGGAGGAGGUGGCAUCAACAGGAGGUUGUUUGCUGAAAUCUGCACACCUAUUCCAUGGUAUGCGUCGGAUCUAUCUUUAUUUUUGUUGUGGUUUGGCCAAUUGGGAGCAGCGGGUUGAAGAUGGAAGUUGAGAGAAUUGACAGGAAGGGAAGUUUUCUGGGUUGGAAGGUUUGGGUGGUAGGUUUUCUAGUCUAAGUUCGGUUGGACCCGAUUUUAGAGGAAGAAAGAUUGGAGGAUAUGACGGUUAGGCGAUAGGAUUCUUUAGGGAAGAUGGACAGCAAGGGGCUGUUUGAUGGAUGAGGAGUGAUUGGCAGGUUUGGCGGGUGCUGGAGGAGAGGUUCUCCAAGGGAUAAUUAGUCGAGGUGGAGCUGAAGAAGCAACUAUACAGCCUUCGGAUGUAGGAAGGCGGAGAAGUAGUCGGAGUGCAUUCAGUGGUUCGAUUAGAGCGUGGAUUUGUAAAGUCUUGAGGUAAUGGAAAUGGUUGAUCCAUAGAGUGUCGCAGCUGGUUCAAAAAAAGAUCCUUUAGUGGUUUCAUAGGGGUCCACAGAGUGUGGAAGGUCCGAAACGGCAGCUGUGAUGGUGGAGGUUCAGUAAGUUAGUGCUGGGCAGCUGAUCUCGGAUCAGAUUUUAUUUUCUACAAGGGCACCAGGAGUUGCGAUUCAGGUGGAACACUGGCCAGAGGUGCCUUCACAUGUGGAGGAUGGUUUGGCACAGAGCCAAGGGGUGCAGGGAUAGAUGUCUGAUUCCAGCACCAGCGAUGGUGACGCAUUGCAUGGAUUUAUGCGGCAUUGUGGGCACCGUGGAUCGAGGCUCUGGGGAGACCGUAUCAGAUGGGUUUGUUUGCAGCAAUAGAGGAUCUGGAUAUCUAUGAGGAGGCUGUGGUGAGCCUCGGGUUGAGAUAGGUGGGUUUAAGCCCAGGACAAGAUUUGAGCCGUAUUUCCUUCAGGUGAUGCUGAAGCGACGGUUGGUGCAGCGGUAGAAGAGGAUAAAGUGCUAGGGUGGAAUUUUCUAGAUUCAGUCGUUGGAUUUGAAGAGUUGGAUGAGCUCUUGAAUUUCAGAGGUGCCUGCAGGAUGCGGUGUAUCCUAGACGACUUCGGAGGGAUCCGCAGAAUACGGAGGAUUCGAAGGAGCAGCGACGGUGAUCGAGGUGCAGCGGCAGACCCAGCAGGGCAGCAUUGGGUGGUGGCCUCGGGCGACUCAGGUACAGAGGCGACUUCUGUGGCAUCAAAUGGACUUCGGAUUCAGGUGGAGCACCGGAUAGAGGUGGUUUCAUAGGUGGAGAGGGUUUCAGUAGCAGCGAGUGCCAAUUUAGGAAUGCUGCGGUUUUUCUAGAAAAGUCCAGGACGAGUGAUGCAGCUGUCAAGCAGGAGGGAGCCUAUAAAUUCUAAGGUGGUGUCAAAAAACAAACAAGGGUCUUCAGCUGUGGAGGUGGUUAUCCCAAAGGUCUCCAAGGGUGCACAGAAGCUGAAGAAGAUUGGCAUCGAUGAUGGAGGUUUGCACAGGGAGUUGUCAGGAUGUGCAGCGACAGUAGGAUCAUGCAGAUGGAUCGUGCGGAGGUUUGCCAAGACUUGAGGGCACCAUGGUGGAGAUUAUUGGCGCAUGUAUGAUUUUUUCAAGUCUUGGGAGGCCAUGAGAGGAGCCAUGGGCUUGAUUCCAGGAUGCUAGGACCAAUUUGGGUCCUUGGGUGAAGGUUGUCAGCCUUCAGGGUCUUGAGAUUUAGGGGUUUUGGACCUUAAGGGGCUAACUUGUAUUCGGUCGAGUUUGGAUCCAAGGGUAAGAUUAGGUCAAGUCAUGGGUGUGCAUGGGUUUGGAUGAGUUCAAUCUCAUGUGGGUUAGUCAUGGGAGUUUUUAAGCUAGGGUUUAUUAGGGUUCAUGUGGAAAUCCUAGGGUAAACCCAUAUGUUGUAAUAGUUUGUUAAGUGAUCAAUAUACGGAGUUUCUCCUUAACUUCUCCCUUUCUCUUUGAUCUGCAUGCCACCCUAGGCAGUAAGGGGUGCCCCCCUUAAGCCCUAGCUGUCCUAGGGUUUGGAAGAGGGAGGCGCCCCAUCAUGUGGGCGCCCCUCUUUGUGUGGCCGCCUAAGACUCCAUGCCCAGGGAGUCUCCAUGCCCAAGAAGCCAUCUGAUCUGAUCAGGGAUCAUAGGAGGAUGUGGAAGGAGGCUUCGGAGGUGGGCAUGAGUGGAGGAAGUGCACGAGGUGACGAGCACGGGCAAAGGUUGCACAGGUUGCUGUCACCCUGUCAGGGUGUGCGCUGGUAGUCCCUGUUGGACAAGGAAUUUUCUCCCCACUUAGAUCGGAUUUUAUGCUCUGGUUAAAACAGUAAGGAGGGCUUUAUCAGAUGUCCUAAUGUCUUGAUAGAUCAUCCAAAAGAGAUUAGAAAGGUGAGAGAUGAGGCACACAAGUUGGAAGCGUGCAGGUUGAAAUUUCUGUCAUGGAGUCUCUGUUGUACAGGGAUUCCUCAUCUAAGGAAUCUGGUCCCGAUUCAUUCAGAUCUGCUAGCCCCAAGGAUUCACGUCCCUAGCUCUGGUUCCAAGAGUCUUGGGAGUGGAAAAUCAGAUCUGAAGGUGUGUCUCAGGUCUUGGGAAGUGGAGGAGACGCGAACUAGGUCGUUGUUGCAGGGUUCUUGAUGCGCAGUGAUCUAGGACAUGGUGUUUGCUACCUUAAGAAAGUCUGGAUCACCAUGGACUCUUGUAGAGGGCUUCGUCGUGGGUCUUCUUAGGUCCACGCAGGUGCACGGCGGUCUUAACAGUCUCAACACCUCGAAGUGAUCAGACCGAGUCAACUCUUGCCAACUAGAUGGUCAAGCAG
rnacentral:lncRNA from 1 species